GAAGGCUUCUGGCGCGAAGUGCACUUCACAAAUGCAUGCAUUUUUAACAUUAAUUUUGUCCGUACGACGACAAAAAUGAAUCCAUUGUUUUUGUAUUGUUUUAUCUUUAGGGAAAUGGAAAAAUCUCCAAUUUCGUAGCACAAUAUUUACCAUUAUUAUUAUUGCAUCCGAACACUACGCAACGCAUUUUAAAAAAUUUAAAAUUUCACAAUCAAUACAACACUUGAAAACACAAUUCGAAUUCACUUUUAAGAGCGCGGGGGAAUAAUAAGUCAACCGUGACGUCAGCAAGAACAGCUGACUGAAACAUGCGCAUUGCGUAAUCUCUUUCUCUAUCAUUCUAAUGUUUUCAACAUACCUCCUCAAAAGAAGCAUCUGAACAAAACAAACCAAUAAAAUAACCAAUUAUAAGCCAUUUAAAAAUUAUAAUUUUUAUAAAUAGUAAUUAAAUUUAAAUUUAGUAGUCAAUUUCAGAUCCUUUUAUAAGCCCCAUUCCGUUUCUCGGACUCAGAAACUUAGCUGCAGACAAAGUCUUCGUCAACAUAUUGGCAAGCUGAUUCUCUGUGUAACUAUAUUUCGUGAUUAUUAUAGUAUAUUUACAUAUAACGGGAUUAUCUCCAUUAACGAGAUUAACUCGAUAAUCCGUAAUUAAGAAACGAGAUUUACCAUACAAAAUUCCUCUCUAGUUAAUCUGAGAUUAAAAGUUAAAAGUUAAUCUCAGAUUACACAACUAGAUUAGCGAUGUUAUUCCUAACUUUAUCGAUAAUUUUUUCGAAAAAGAUGAGAAAUGUCAAAUGACAAAGCAAACAAAAAUGGCCGACAGCGAGGGAAAGAGAGAUGAUAGGAAAUCUAUGGGUUCCUCUGGCGGCAGCCCUUCGAUAUGGGAAUUCUACCCUAGAAUAAAUAGUAACCUCUGGAGCUAUAAAAGCUUUAAUUUGCCAACAUUUGUGGAGGAGAGCACAGUUCACGAAGUUGUAGACUGUGCAUCACCCCUUAACAGCUCUUCCAUUACGCUGGAUUCCCAGGAAGAAUUGCUGUUUGUAGACGAGGAACCUGCAAGGGAAAGAAAAAAGCAUACCUCAAAUAAUAUUCACAAUGAAUUUUUGGAGGAAUUCCGGGAUUCAAAUAGAAAAAUUAAGGCGGAAAUUGAAGCAAUUAAAGAGAAAGAAAGCCAUUCUCGAAAAAUUCUUAGCAUUUAAGCAAAGCAAUUACGUUUUACACCACGAAGCAUAUAUCUAGCCCAGGAGAAGAUUUUUUUAUUUUAUAUUGUUAUUUUUUGUAAAAUAGCUGGUUCACAGCAUAGUGCUUUUCAACUCAUGUGGUAAGUCUUUUGUUCAUUUUUCUUGUGAGAUUUGGGCAAGAAUAACCUCACAAUUCAGUUGCUGAACACAUAGAGAGUGACAGACUUCAAGCGACAUCUGUUAAAUAUUACACGUUCUUAUGGACACCGUUCUUUAGACAGCUGCAAGACUGAAAAGUUUCAACAAAAAGUAGUGGAACUAAUGGAGAAGAAUCCAGAAGUUGGAAAAGUAAAGCCACAGUUUGGAAGCAAUAAAUUCAAAAACCAAAUUGUUGGAAAGUGUGGCAUUGCAGUUGAAUUGUUUAUGGCCACCAAGCUGAACUGUCUACGAAUGGGGACGAUGUGGAUUCGCUAUAAAGCAAAUUAAAAAAAUCUUGCUAAUAAUAGGAACAACUUGUGACUGGUGGUACACCUCUAGAGCAGUCGCUAAGCCCAAUGGAGGAGAGUGUGGCCCGGCUUAUUCAGAUAAGGGAGGCAGUUGCACCAAGAGGGCAAGCAUUAGGUGUCGAGUAUGUAUCACCUAUUUUCGCCGAUGUGACCCUUGAAGACUCACCUUUUUCUUCUCCACAUAUGCAAGAUCGCUCGACUCCUUCCAAAAGAGUUCAGUUGAGGAGGGCAAACUAUUGCAUGGAAUCGCAAAGGAAUUUUAAACAAAAUUAGACAGUUGGAGAAAACUUUGCCUAAUUAAUAUACUCUCCAAAAAGAAGCUUUGGAAUUAAAAAAAGAUCUAUGGAAGAAAGGCUAACGAGGCGCAUGAACUCUCUCUUUUUGUAACAUAGUUCAAGUUUAUUUUGAAAACAUGAAGUGAUAUUGUUAUUUCAAGAAUUUAUUUAAAUAAAAUUUAAAAAAAUAUAUAA